UAGAAUAGAAUAGAAAACUUUUUAUUUGCAAGAAAGGUAUACAAGCAGGUAAGACAUAGAUUAAAACAGAGAGAAAUAAACAAGUGGACAAUUAACUGCUUGUGCCCCUCUGACAAAAAGGCACCCGCUCAGCGUACAUCAAGACCGCCAGGGCUUGUCUUGAAACUGAUUUUCAGCGGGGGCCCUCUGUUGUCACGGCGUACCCCUGCUGAAAGAGAUGCAAGAGGAGAAAGGAGUCCACAAGUCCGGCAGCAGGGAGAACGCAGCAGGGGGGCGCAAAAGAAAAAGAGAAAACAAACAAAAAGAAAGAAACAAGAAAGCACCAUAAAAAAUAAUUAAUAAAAAUAAAUUCAUUUCACAUUAAUUAUAAAUUACAAUAAUAAUAAAUUAAAAUUAUAAUAAAUUACAAUAAAUUUAGAUUUUAAUUAUUAAUUACAUAAUUAAAACACAUUUAAAAAAAAUUAAAAUAAAAUAAAUUAGAUUAAAAAUACAAAUAAAUUAUCAAAAAACACCAUUCUUUACUUAUCUAUUGCCAUUGAUAUGUGGCCAUAACCAUAAGGCCUCAAGUUAUUUAAAAUCAAUGGUAGAAAAGUGAUUGAGGAAAGAAAAAAAAAAAAAGAGAUUAAAAAAAAGAAAGAACUGUCACUUACUGUCAACGACCGACAUGUGCACGAGAUGUGAGAAUAAUUGCCACGUAAAUUGAUGAAAUGUGGUACAUUUAAAGGAUAUUUCAAGAAAGCAGUGCCAAAUAAUAAAACCAAAUUAAGAGCAAUCCGCAGCACUACAAUCACACGAAAGGGAAGGUGAAUAACAUCCAGCAUUGUAACCAAUUUUAUGCAACAACUACGGAUUACUAACAUACAAUAAUGCAAUGCAAUACUAUUAUACAAAUAAAUUAAAGAAAAUUGGACAGAAGAAUACACUGAGUACCAACAGCAAAAAAUAAAUAAAUAAAAUAAACCCAUGUCAAGAAACUAAACGGAGCCAAGUGGAUGAGGACUGCACACAAGGUGCUGGAGAAAGUCAGGUGAAGCUGGAGCUGGAAGUGGACCUGCUCCCAGGCGUGUCGUGCAUACAUUUAAGGGCACGCAGAGGCAGUGGCAGGUCAUUCCAACAUUUAGAAGCAGCAAACCUGAAGGAGCCUCUAAAAGCUGCAGUACGAUGUUUAGGGGUGUUAAAGACAUGGGUGCAUUCUCUUCUGGGAUAUCGGCUGAGCUCACGUGCCCACUCCAGCUUCAAGAAAAGGUACUUUGGCUUGGCUUUACUCAGAACACCAAACAUCAUAGUAGCAAGAUGAAGCUUCCUACGCGCAUCCAUCUUUAACAUGGCUGCAGCAUUGAGGAAUGGCGUAACAUGUGUACGAGGUGGAAUUGUGAAACAAAACCGAGCGCAGGCAUUUUGCACUCUUUGGAUAAGUUUAGCUGAUUUUGUGAAAAUACAUGGACCAUAAACAGUAUCGCAAUAGUUAAACUUGCUGAGAACCAGUGAUUCGCAAAGAGCAAUUCGAAUCUUCUCACUUAAAUAUGGUCUUAGUUUGUAUAGAAGUUUCAAACGGUAAAAACUACUUCUAGCACAAUCAAUGAUGUGAUUUUCAAAUUUCAAAUGGCAAUCCAUGGCCAAUCCCAGAUUUUUAACUUUAUCAACCCUAACAAUAGGCUGACCUACAAUAUUUAAAGUAUUAUCAUUAAAUCUGGCUAUGUUCUUGGGGGUACCCAUUACAAUAAAUUGUGAUUUAUUAGGAUUAAGAGUAAGACAAUUCAGUAAGCACCAUGUAUUUAUGUUAUUUAGGUCUUGGUUAAUUUUAUUGACAGCAAUCACUUGGUCGGCCGGGGCAAACGGUAGAUACAGUUGCAAGUCAUCAGCAUAUAAGUGAUAUUGACAAUUCUUUAUGCUGUUUACAAUGUCAGCACUGUACAAAAUGUACAGAAUUGGGCCCAAAAUCGAACCUUGGGGCACACCACGAGAGACUGUACUCAGCUGUGAACGCAACAGAGUGCCAUCCGUCUGUUUCAGCUCAACAUAUUGACUACGCUGAGUCAAAUAACUAUGAAACCACUUAACGGAUCUGCUAUCAAAACCAUAGUAUUUUAGUUUGGAUGAGAGAAGAGAUGUAUUGAUUGAGUCGAAUGCCCGAGAGAAAUCAAGCAAUGUCACAAUUGUUACCAUGCCACGAUCCUGUCCAGCCAGUAUGUUGUCAACCACGUCUGCCAGUGCAGUGGCCGUUCCAUAACCCUUCCGAAACCCAGAUUGACAGUGUGGAAGAAUAUCACAAUCCUCAAGGUAUCGAGUGACUUGGUCGCACACUAUCCUCUCAAGGAUUUUAGAAAGACAUGGCAGGAUGCUAAUAGGCCGUAGUUCCUCUUCUGAGUUAGGGUGGCUUGUUUUAGGAAUAGGUCUCACAAUCGAUAUUUUCCAACUCUCAGGGAAUGUGCUAUCUAGUAUAGACUGGUUGACCAUCGCAGUUAUGGCUUUAAGGGAGUAGGGUAAGGUUAGCCGGAGCAUGUCCAAAGAUAGGCCAUCAUGCCCCCGGGCAUUCGACUUCAUUCCUCUGAUGGUCUUAAGAACCAUCUCCUCACUGACUGUGUGCAGAGUAAAAGUAGCUGCAUUGUUAUGCCUAUGAAACUCAAAGUAGGUCAGUUGAGAAAUGGAUACUUUAUCCUCACCUGGCACUUUUUGAAAAUGUGCAUUAAUAAGAUCAGGAUUGUUAAACAUAGAGGGUAUAUCAGGUAGGU